rnacentral:misc_RNA from 1 species
GCAAACUUGGUCAUUUAGAGGAAGUAAAAGUCGUAACAAGGUUUCCGUAGGUGAACCUGCGGAAGGAUCAUCACAGAGAUAGGGAGAGGGAGAUGCAUGUGAUAUAUAUCAUCAUCUCUCUCUCCUAUAACCACUCAUGUGUGCAUUGUAUAGGUAGUGAUGGCAAUAUGUCACACGCCUCUUAUAUAUAAACUACUUGAUCUUAUUAAUCUAUAGUAUCUAUAAUUAUUAUUAACAUAACACAACUUUUAACAAUGGAUCUCUUGGCUCUCGCAUCGAUGAAGAACGCAGC